UACUCUUUUAGAAGCUGCUUUUAUGUGUAAAGUCUGGAAUUCCUAACGCAUCUCCAAAGGUUCUAAAAUGCUAUGGACUCGUAGAUGUACAACAAGAAGAGCCUUAUGGUGAUAUUACUUUGAAGUUGACCCCAAAAAUUUUCAAGGAUCUGGAUUGAUGUUAAUUAAAUGUGCUUGGCAGCUCUUCAUGCAAAUAGUUGGUUUUGUACAGCAGCUGCAACACAAAUUUUUUCAUAAUCUUAUGGAGGCUCAUAGUCUUGCUUCUUCUUUCUGGCAGUUGAUAAUUUUUUUUUUGGGCCUCUACCUUCAUCUGCUCUUACCUGCUUUUGUACUAGGAAUAUGCUGUAGCUCAUCCAGCACUACUAGAAGUGUUGGCCAGGUUGGGUGGAUGCUGUGUAGAAACAGUUUGAUUUGUCUAUGAAAUCAACUCCUUAAUUGCCUUU